GGUACUUUUUGCGAUCGGAUAAAGUUACAAACGACAGGGCCUUCCAGCUGUCGCCCUGAUCAGGAUAAGCUGUUAGACAAUACAUGUCAUAAAUGUAAAAUUUUGGGAGACUGCAUGGUAGCUUGUCCUUUCAUAGGUAAUGAAAUGGAAUCUGUCAUUUUAGGAACAGUGAAGAAUCAAAUGAUUUUUAAAAUAUGUCCUGAUAUAACACGGAGGUAAUUCACAAUGCAAUUAAAGAUAUUCCUGCAUAAUAUUGUCAGUGAAUAUUACAACAUAUUAGUGCCAAUAUAUAAUAAAUAGCAAAACGUGGAUGCCUGUGCAGCUGUGGAUACAAAAUUUAUUACUCAAAAUCAGCUUCAAAGGGUAAUGGUACAUCAGUCUGUAUGUUCUACUUUUGUAGCGCUCUUGAUGUGCUCUUAAGAUUCUGAGGAGAGAUGGAAUCUGAGAAUAUGAGUGUGGAUCAUAGCGACGAGUCCAGGAUUGGACUAGGGUUACGGAAGUGUAAGUCAUUUUUUACUGAACAGCUCCACCCAUUUAAUAUUAUUAAAAUUUCCUCAAACUGAGUUUGAAACGUCUGUGAGCUUACACUGGAUCCCAAAACACCGCAUACAGUUCUGUCUCUGUCUGACGGCAACAGAAGGGUGACAUUUGAGGGAGAGAGACAGUAUAGACCAGGUGGCCCAGGGAAAUUUACCGCCUGGCCUCAAGUCCUGUGUAGCCAGGGUCUCUCUGGUCAAUGUUACUGGGAGGUUGAGUGGACUGGAAAUAGAGCUGAGAUAGGAGUGGCAUACAAAAAGAUAGGCAGGAAUGAUGACACUGCGGUUUGUCGGCUUGGAGCUAAUGAUAAGUCCUGGAUUCUGUGCUGCACCAAUAAUAGCUCCUCAGCUUACCACAAUAAACAGGAAAGUGUCAUCGCUUCUCCGCCCUCCUCCAGAGUAGGAGUCUAUCUGGACUGGGUGGCCGGAACUCUGUCCUUCUACAGCAUCUCCUGUGGGAAAAUGACCCUUUUGCACACGUUCCACUCCCAUUUCACUCAGCCUCUACAUCCAGCAUUUGGGCUGUACACUCUUGGUUGUUCUGUGCACAUUUGCCAGCUGAAAUGACUGUCUUGGGGGGAAAAAAAGACAAGCUACUAGAGAAGACAUCAUAUUCAUACAACUGACUCAUUACGCAUAGAAAAUUAUGGCUGGACUGGGAUUCAAAAUGAGUUUUUUAGCAUGUCAUGAAAAGUUAUACCCCAAUUUCAGCUGAUUCCCAAACUGCACAGAAUGUGUGUAUCCACUCUUCCCUAGAAAAAUGAGCAUGUUUGUACACAAUUGUACACUUCUGCAGGAAAUUGUGUAAUGACUCUAUACAUGUAUGUAUAAUGUACAAUUAUUUGUAAAUCUUGUUGCCCACGAUUAAGAUGUCUUACUCUGUGAAAACCCAGAAUCAGGAUAAGCAUUAACCACUCUGUGAUCUGUAUGCACUAAUUUACAAUGAUGUCGGGAAAAUGUGGUAAACAAUUAUAUAUUUGUGCUUAAACUUUUCUGAAUGCAAGAAUAUUUUUUUUUCUAAAUGUUAAUAUAACGCUUUGUAAUAUGCAACAUUUUCAGUGUUUUCAGUAAGAUUAGAUUCAACAUUCUAAUCCAGCUCUCAGGACAAAACAUACAGAUAAAGUACAUGUUAUAAUUAGGGUCUGGAAACAUUUUUCAAGGUGACAGAAAACUGAAGUCUUAUAUAAUGAUCCUAGAGGUGAGUGAAUUUGCUCAUUAUUAGUCAGCUCUGCCUGGCCUGAUUCCCACACAUCUUUCAAUGACAUUUCCCCUGCCAUACAGAUCAGUUAUAGUUGUUCCUAAGAAACUGAACUUUUUGGGCAGAUGGGUUGGACCACAUGGCUGUGCAAACCAUUUGAGGGUGAUACAGGGCUUUAGAGCAUGAAGACCAAUUUAGAUGUCUUUAUUUGCAUAUUUACACAACAUUGUACAUAUAUACAUUAUAUUGAUGGAAUAUUAUAACAUGCAUGGUUUAAUAUGCAACAAGGAUAUUUUUGUUAGGAUACAAUUAUUUAAUCCUAUUACCGUAUUUGUAUACUUCAAAUGGUCACAUACAAAAUAAAAACGAAUGGUUGAAUAACCAUUUUUACAUUCAAGGUGAA